CCGCCCGGUGUCUCUCCGUCAUGCUCCGAACAGCAGGGACGACCCUGCCCUGCCGGCUCGCACGGGGUGCUCUUCAUCGAGUGUCCCGCGUGGCCGGCGAGUUUACUUUGAAAAAAUUAGAGUGCUCAGAGCGGGCUACUCGGAUGGCCUGAAUGGUGAUGCAUGGAAUAAUGGAAUAGGACCUCGGUUCUAUUUUGUUGGUUUUCGGAUCCAGAGGUAAUGACGAAUAGAAACAGGCGGGGGCAUUCGUACUGCGACGCUAGAGGUGAAAUUCUUGGACCGUCGCAAGACGAACUACUGCGAAAGCAUUUGCCAAGGAUGUUUUCAUUAAUCAAGAACGAAAGUUAGAGGUUCGAAGGCGAUCAGAUACCGCCCUAGUUCUAACCAUAAACGAUGCUGACUAGCGAUCCGCCGGCGUUAUUCCCAUGACCCGGCGGGCAGCUUCCGGGAAACCAAAGUCUUUGAGUUCCGGGGGAAGUAUGGUUGCAAAGCUGAAACUUAAAGGAAUUGACGGAAGGGCACCACCAGGAGUGGAGCCUGCGGCUUAAUUUGACUCAACACGGGGAACCUCACCAGGCCCGGAC
rnacentral:rRNA from 1 species